rnacentral:rRNA from 1 species
AUUGAACGCUGGCGGCAGGCUUAACACAUGCAAGUCGAACGAGUGGCGGACGGGUGAGUAAUGCUUGGGAAACUAGCUGAUGGAGGGGGAUAACUACGGGAAACGGUAGCUAAUACCGCGUACCAUCGGAUGAGCCCACGUGGGAUUAGGUAGUUGGUGGGGUAAAGGCUCACCAAGCCGACGAUCCCUAGCUGGUCUGAGAGGAUGACCAGCCAAACUGGGACUGAGACACGGCCCAGACCCCUACGGGGGGGAGCAGUGGGGAAAAAUUGGAAAUUGGGGGAACGCGACGGAGCCAUGCCGCGGGAUUGAAGAAGGCCCUCGGGGUUGAAAGUUCUUUCGGUAGCGAGGCGGUAACUAGAGAAAAAGCAACGGCUAACUCCGUGCCAGCAGGCGCGGUAAUUC